rnacentral:rRNA from 1 species
CAGUCGAGGGGUAUUGGUUUUCGGACCAAGAGACCGGCGCACGGGUGCGUAACGCGUAUGCAAUCUACCUUUUACAGAGGGAUAGCCCAGAGAAAUUUGGAUUAAUACCUCAUAGCAUUGCACAAUGGCAUCAUUGAGCAAUUAAAGUCACAACGGUAAAAGAUGAGCAUGCGUCCCAUUAGCUUGUUGGUAAGGUAACGGCUUACCAAGGCAACGAUGGGUAGGGGUCCUGAGAGGGAGAUCCCCCACACUGGUACUGAGACACGGACCAGACUCCUACGGGAGGCAGCAGUGAGGAAUAUUGGUCAAUGGGCGCAAGCCUGAACCAGCCAUGCCGCGUGCAGGAUGAAGCAUCUAUGGUGUGUAAACUGCUUUUGUACGAGAAGAAACACUCCUUCGUGAAGGAGCUUGACGGUAUCGUAAGAAUAAGGACCGGCUAACUCCGUGCCAGCAGCCGCGGUAAUACGGAGGGUCCAAGCGUUAUCCGGAAUCAUUGGGUUUAAAGGGUCCGUAGGCGGUUUAGUAAGUCAGUGGUGAAAGCCCAUCGCUCAACGGUGGAACGGCCAUUGAUACUGCUAAACUUGAAUUAUUAGGAAGUAACUAGAAUAUGUAGUGUAGCGGUGAAAUGCUUAGAGAUUACAUGGAAUACCAAUUGCGAAGGCAGGUUACUACUAAUGGAUUGACGCUGAUGGACGAAAGCGUGGGUAGCGAACAGGAUUAGAUACCCUGGUAGUCCACGCCGUAAACGAUGGAUACUAGCUGUUCGGAGCAAUCUGAGUGGCUAAGCGAAAGUGAUAAGUAUCCCACCUGGGGAGUACGUUCGCAAGAAUGAAACUCAAAGGAAUUGACGGGGGCCCGCACAAGCGGUGGAGCAUGUGGUU